rnacentral:rRNA from 1 species
CGCGGCCUAUCAGCUUGUUGGUGGGGUGAUGGCCUACCAAGGCGACGACGGGUAGCCGGCCUGAGAGGGCGACCGGCCACACUGGGACUGAGACACGGCCCAGACUCCUACGGGAGGCAGCAGUGGGGAAUAUUGCGCAAUGGGCGAAAGCCUGACGCAGCGACGCCGCGUGGGGGAUGAAGGCCUUCGGGUUGUAAACCCCUUUCAGCAGGGACGAAGCGAAAGUGACGGUACCUGCAGAAGAAGCGCCGGCUAACUACGUGCCAGCAGCCGCGGUAACACGUAGGGCGCAAGCGUUGUCCGGAAUUAUUGGGCGUAAAGAGCUCGUAGGCGGUCUGUUGCGUCCGCUGUGAAAACUCGGGGCUUAACCCCGAGCCUGCAGUGGAUACGGGCAGACUAGAGGUAGGUAGGGGAGAAUGGAAUUCCCGGUGUAGCGGUGAAAUGCGCAGAUAUCGGGAGGAACACCGGUGGCGAAGGCGGUUCUCUGGGCCUUACCUGACGCUGAGGAGCGAAAGCGUGGGGAGCGAACAGGAUUAGAUACCCUGGUAGUCCACGCCGUAAACGUUGGGCGCUAGGUGUGGGAUCCUUCCACGGAUUCCGUGCCGCAGCUAACGCAUUAAGCGCCCCGC